rnacentral:rRNA from 1 species
AACGAACGCUGGCGGCGUGCCUAACACAUGCAAGUCGAACGAGAUCUUCGGGUCUAGUGGCGCACGGGUGCGUAACGCGUGGGAAUCUGCCCUCUGGUUCGGAAUAACAGUUGGAAACGACUGCUAAUACCGGAUGAUGACGAAAGUCCAAAGAUUUAUCGCCAGAGGAUGAGCCCGCGUAGGAUUAGCUAGUUGGUGUGGUAAAGGCGCACCAAGGCGACGAUCCUUAGCUGGUCUGAGAGGAUGAUCAGCCACACUGGGACUGAGACACGGCCCAGACUCCUACGGGAGGCAGCAGUGGGGAAUAUUGGACAAUGGGCGAAAGGCUGAUCCAGCAAUGCCGCGUGAGUGAUGAAGGCCUUAGGGUUGUAAAGCUCUUUUACCCGGGAUGAUAAUGACAGUACCGGGAGAAUAAGCUCCGGCUAACUCCGUGCCAGCCGCCGCCGUAA